GACAAAGGAUGCAAGCGUUAUUCAGAAUGAUUAGGCGUAAAGCGUCUGUAGGUGGCUUUUUAAGUCCGCCGUUAAAUCCUAGGGCUCAACCCUGGACAGGAGGUGGAAACUACCAAGCUGGAGUACGGUAGGGGUAGAGGGAAUUUCCGGUGGAGCGGUGAAAUGCGUAGAUAUUGGGAAGAACACCGGUGGCGAAGGCGGCGACCUGGUCCGAGACUGACGCUGAGGCGCGAAAGCGUGGGGAGCAAACAGG
rnacentral:rRNA from 1 species